rnacentral:lncRNA from 1 species
AAAAAAAAAAAUAAAAAAAAAAAGUCAACUUUAAUUUCAAGAACCUUUUUCAUCUCAAAUUCAUAUUGUUACUAUGGCUGCAGCUACAAUCCCACCAGGAAAACCUAUGUCAAUGGAGCAACACAUGCUUGAUAAAGGAGCUCAAAUGUUGCAGUCUUUGACUCCUAUCAAGCAAAUGAACCAACAUGUUUGUACUUUUGCUAUGUAUAGUCAUGACAUGCAUCGUCAAAUCGAAACUCAUCACUAUGUCACUCGUUUGA